CGCUUGCUAGUUUGCUCCUUUGCUGUGAAGUGAUUUGCUCUGAGCUCUUAAUCCAGGGCAAAUCGUGGGAAAACCCUAGAUUUGGCGCCAUCUUCUAGGGGUUUUCCUCGGUGCAUUUCGAUUCUGUUUUCAGGAAAUUUUUUUCACUGAGGUGGUGAGUUGAUUUGUGAAGGAGACAGACUGGUAUAGCAUCUGGGAGAACUAUAUGGCAAAAGUUGCUACACCUGGUUCCAAUUCUCUUCAAAUCGGUGGGCCUGCUUUAAAGGUUGCUCCAAUGGUCAAAAGGAAGACCCCAUCAGAACUGAGAGGAGAACAAUUGAAGAGGACAAAUGUUGUAGAGAUUGUAGAUGAGUCACCAGCUCCAUUGUCUGGUUUAAUGAAUAACACUAGUGAUAAUGGGCUUAAGAAACCAGAUCUAUCAAGGAAUCCAAGAUACAUUGACACCCGUAUGGAUGAAGUAUAUCCUGUCAAAAAAUCCAGGCUCAGGAUGCUUUCUGUAAAGGAAAAUGCAAAGGAAAACAUAUCAACUGAGCAAACAAACAGCAUGAAGAAUAUCUCUAUGCUUUCAAAUUUGAAAGCCAAGAGACAACUCUCAUGUCCCGAAAAUUCUUCUGCAUGCUCUAUAGUUUCCAAAGAAGGUAAGGUGCAAGCUCGUCAAACAAUAGAAAGGUGCAGCCAAAAUAUAUUCCGAAGUGUUACUGAGCUUUCAUCAAAUGGUGAAAAAUCAUCUGGAAUGGCUCUUGUUGAUAUGGAUAAAGCAUUAAAAGGACUAGUUGCCCAUGAACCUCCCACCAGUUCUGUUUUAAAUGCUGACUCUUCCGAAAAGUUUGGCAAUCAUACUUCAAUUCAUUCAAGCAAUUUUGUCUCUGAAUGCUUUAUUCCAGGCCAAAAGGCUCCUCUUGAUUUUACUUUGAAAACAAAAAUGCGGUUGGUGUCCUCUUGCUCCGUGAAUUGGAUUCAUAGGUCAAUUAUGUGUAGUGUCUACAAUGGAAUGCCACAAUUAACUUCGCAGUUUGGUUGUUCCAAAGAUGGUAGUAGCUUAGGGCAAGAAUUGACUUCCCAAAUUCUUAGUUCCAAAGCAUUACAUUCAUGGAUUUAUCCUCAGUCUACAUUGCCACCUUCCGUCAUAUCGGUGUUGAGUUCACAAGCAGCAGAUGGAGUGGAAAUAGACUUUUUAAGAAAACGGCAAAUGGGAUGGGAGGAUUCAUUUCGGAGUCUUUAUUACAUGCUUCGAAAAGACAUUUGCAAUAUCUUUUAUGUGUGUACAUCACAUUUUGUGGUAUUGUUCAUCAAUAGUAGUGGCUCAGGAAGAACCAAAAACUUAUGCAAUGCUUACAUCUCCCAAUCAACAAGAGAUCUGAGGUCGUUGUUAAGAAAGCAUGAUGUUUACUUCUCUAUGCCACUUUGCCAUUCUAACAUAGAGCAAGCGACCACUGAAGAUCUAGUUGAGCUCUCAGAAAUUGAGAAGCAAAAUUUGGGCCAGACUCGACGUCCGACCACCUUGUCUGAUGUUGAUCAUAGCCCACAAUCUCUCUUAGCUUUUUGUGGAAAUAAAAAUGUACAUGCAUUAUAUGAUUUUUUAUUAAAUUACAGAUCUUCCUUAACCUUUUUGUCUGGCGUGGAUGUUCCUGUAUUGUAUUCACCUGUUUCAUUUCAGAAUGCUGCUCUUUCCACUCCUGAGAUAAGAUGCAUGGAAAUGAAAAGAGUUGAUCAUGUUGCUGGUUCCUUCAAAGAAUUUGAAGUUAACAAUGGUGAACACAUACAAGGUUCAUCUUCUGGUCUAUGCUCUAGUAUUGAGAUCAAGGAUGCAUAUAUUCCAUCAUGGAUUAUUUGCCGUGUAUGUGCACUAAUAAGAUCUAAAGGGAAGAGCUUUGAGGCAAGCUUCAUAACAGAGCGUACCUCAAUUGGCUUGAAUGUUGCUCUUGAGACAAUAUGUGAGGAAACUGAUUCCGGUGCUGUGGCAAGCAAAAGCUUGCAAGAUAACCGUCAUUCUAUUGGCAUUCCAGAAGCUAAAGUUUCUCCUAGCAUGGGUUCAAGCUUUGUAAAAGGCCUGAAGUACAACGAUGGUUCUUAUACAGUUUCUCUCUCUCCUAUAUGACAUAUUGAAUCUGAUAGAAAUGCAACAUGGAGAUAUUUUUAUGGUACUUGCGCAACUUGAUGGUCUCUCUAUGACAUUUUGCCUUUUCGGUCUAUGGCACAGAUGCAACAUUGGAAUGCUGCAGUGGUUCUUGCACAUAUUUCCUCUCCUGGGUGACAUUUUACCUCUGUGAUCUUUAGCAGAGAUACAAUGAAAUAUUUCACUGCAUAUUGCUAAUUAAGUUGAUCCUUUAUCCAUUUAUUCUGAUCCUGUAUGAUUACCAGUUUUUUAAUGAUGAUUUGUAGCUCAUAUUUAAGAAUCAUUGAUUUCUAGUUUUCAGCAUGGAAUUUUUUGGUGGGGAGCUUUUAUUCUUGAAGAAGCAUUUGGGUUGAGAAAAUGGAUCAUUAAUAGUUUUAAGCUGGAGCUACAAUAAUGGCCAUCAUCAAGUCUAAACUUUUUCAUAUUUUUUGGUACAGUAAGUAUUAACAUUUGCUUUCUAUUGAAGAAUUGCAUAUUUAUGAGAAAAUUACGUGAUUGAUUAGUAAAAAUCAGUAAGUAAGAUUGUUGUUUGUAUAA
rnacentral:misc_RNA from 1 species